CCUACGGGAGGCAGCAGUGGGGAAUAUUGCACAAUGGGGGAAACCCUGAUGCAGCGACGCCGCGUGAGUGAAGAAGUAUUUCGGUAUGUAAAGCUCUAUCAGCAGGGAAGAAAAUGACGGUACCUGAUUAAGAAGCCCCGGCUAACUACGUGCCAGCAGCCGCGGUAAUACGUAGGGGGCAAGCGUUAUCCGGAUUUACUGGGUGUAAGGGGAGCGUAGACGGCAGCACAAGUCUGGAGUGAAAUGCCGGGGCUUAACCCCGGAACUGCUUUGGAAACUGUGCAGCUAGAGUGCAGGAGAGGUAAGUGGAAUGCGUGGUGUAGCGGUGAAAUGCGUAGAUAUUAGGAGGAACACCGGUGGCGAAGGCGGCUUACUGGACUGUAACUGACGUUGAGGCUCGAAAGCGUGGGGAGCAAACAGGAUUAGAUACCCUAGUAGUC
rnacentral:rRNA from 1 species